rnacentral:rRNA from 1 species
AAUCAACGCUGGCGGCGUGCCUAACACAUGCAAGUCGAGCGAGAAAAGGGGGGCAACUCCCUGAGUACAGCGGCGCACGGGUGAGUAACACGUGGGUAAUCUGCCCUGAAGUGGGGAAUAACACCGGGAAACCGGUGCUAAUACCGCAUAUGAUCACGAUGUCUGCGGACGGAGUGAUGAAAGGAGCAAUUCGCUUCAGGAGGAGCCCGCGGCUGAUUAGCUAGUUGGUUAGGUAAUGGCUCACCAAGGCAACGAUCAGUAUCCGGUCUGAGAGGACGGUCGGACACACUGGAACUGAGACACGGUCCAGACUCCUACGGGAGGCAGCAGUGGGGAAUUUUUCGCAAUGGGGGAAACCCUGACGAAGCAACGCCGCGUGGGUGAUGAAGUCUCUUGGGACGUAAAACCCUUUCGACAGGGAAGAAACCGCAAGGUUGACGGUACCUGUAGAAGAAGCCCCGGCUAACUCCGUGCCAGCAGCCGCAGUAAAAC